AAUGUACUACCCCUCCGUUCGGAAUUACUUAUUAUAGAAAUGGAUGUAUCUAUAUGUAUUUUAGUUUUAGAUACGUUCAUUUUCAAGACAAGUAAUUCCGAACGGAGGAAGUAGUCG
rnacentral:pre_miRNA from 1 species